CUCGGACCGCGCCUGCGCCAUCCUCGGCGCGAGGGGCCGGUACCUUUAAGGAGCCGCGGCAUUGCGUCAUUUUUCCGCGACGCCCCCACGCUCUUGCUCCCGCCCUCUCGCCCGCCAUCGCUGGAUGCAGCCAAUCAGAAGCGUCAUUCCCCGGUAGGGCCCUCGGGUGCUGCCCCCGCGCCGUCAGAGGCUGUCCACGGCCGGGAGGGAUCGCUGCGGCGCCGGAGGGCUUUGCGGCCGGCGGGGACUCUGUGGUGGAGCCGGUGGCCUCUGGACCCCCGAGUCUCGGCUCCUGCGCUCUAGCUGUGGCCACGGGCACGGUGCCCAUCCUCACCUCUCCGUCUGCAGCCUGAAGACGAUGACUUCUUAGUGUUGUGGACUAGCCUGUGAGCAAGGACGCAGUAGGUGUAGUUCUCAUUCUGUUUGAGAGAAAAGCCGCUUCCCAAGAAGAUGAAUUAUCAAGAAUGAUUCAAAGGACCUGAAAGGAAACUUCCAAACCUUAGAAGGUUACAAUAUAACAGCCCUGGGCAUAGGUUGCCCCAAUAAUGUCUUCCAAACUAAGUCCAGUGCAAGGAACUUUAUUUCACUUCCUAAAGAGAGAGCGAGGAAAGGAGAGAGAGAAAAACAGAGGUGGUGCUGGAGCAGCGAGCCUCCUUCACAUCCCCACUGGGGAUCGAGCCUGCAACCUGGACAUGUGCUCUGAUCCGGAAUCAAACUAGUGACCUUUUGGUGCAUGGGACUAAGCUCAACCAACUGUGCCACACUGGCCAAGGCUCAGCCUUCUCUUUUAUGACCAUUUCCUCUAUUGCUGUAUCACAGUCCCAACCAGCAGUCUUAGGAAGAUUGUUUUCAAGCAGAUUCUGGAACCUUGACCUCUCCAGCCCAAUUCAUUGCUCACGGUGACCAAGACACGGAAACAACCAAAGUGUCCUGUGAUAGAGGACUGGAUAAGGAAGAUGUGGUUCAUAUACACAAUGGAA